UUGUUUUGGGGUGUGUGUGUGUGUGUGUGUGUGUGUGUGUGUGUGAUCUUGCUGUUGGGUACUGGUGGUUUUAAUAUUAUUCUUACUUAAUAAUCUAGAAACUUUUUUUUCUUUUUCUGUGCCCUGAAAUAGUUGAAACAGCAGUGGAGAGAUCUAUCGCUUAAAGAUUUGGCAGAAUUCGAGGGAGUCAACCUCAGCCUGCUGCUGGCGCCUGCGAAGAGGAUCUUGGGGACUCAGACGGUCUGUGACAUCGCAGUUGUCCAGCAAGGCGAUUUCGGUGGUGCUGACCUCAGUGAAGAAGCGUCCAAUGUGAUGGAGAACGGGUGUCAGAGAAGAUGAGGAACAACCAAGGAGGAGCUGGUGCCCAGAAACUCCAGGCUGCCCAAGCCACUGACUGCUGUGAGCGGCUCUUCUGUCUGGCUCCCUAUUCCUCCCUGUCCACAGGAGGCUGAGAGGUACCCCCUACCCUGAGUUUCACGAGGAUGUCAGCGGGAAGGGGAACAGGUAAGUUGCGCAGUCUGAUUUGGCAGGACCUGCACUAGGCCCUGGUGA
rnacentral:lncRNA from 1 species